UACGUAGGGUGCAAGCGUUAGUCCGGAAUUAUUGGGCGUAAAGAGCUCGUAGGCGGUCUGUCGCGUCGGAUGUGAAAACCCAGGGCUUAACCCUGGGCUUGCAGUGGAUACGGGCAGACUAGAGGCAGGUAGGGGAGAAUGGAAUUCCCGGUGUAGCGGUGAAAUGCGCAGAUAUCAGGAGGAACACCGGUGGCGAAGGCGGUUCUCUGGGCAUGUCCUGACGCUGAGGAGCGAAAGUGUGGGGAGCGAACAGG
rnacentral:rRNA from 1 species